AGUGAACGCUGGCGGUAGGCCUAACACAUGCAAGUCGAACGGCAGCACAGUAAGAGCUUGCUCUUACGGGUGGCGAGUGGCGGACGGGUGAGGAAUACAUCGGAAUCUACUUUUUCGUGGGGGAUAACGUAGGGAAACUUACGCUAAUACCGCAUACGACCUACGGGUGAAAGCAGGGGAUCUUCGGACCUUGCGCGAUUGAAUGAGCCGAUGUCGGAGUAGCUAGUUGGCGGGGUAAAGGCCCACCAAGGCGACGAUCCGUAGCUGGUCUGAGAGGAUGAUCAGCCACACUGGAACUGAGACACGGUCCAGACUCCUACGGGAGGCAGCAGUGGGGAAUAUUGGACAAUGGGCGCAAGCCUGGUCCAGCCAUACCGCGUGGGUGAAGAAGGCCUUCGGGUUGUAAAGCCCUUUUGUUGGGAAAGAAAAGCAGCAGGUUAAUACCCCGCUGUUCUGACGGUACCCAAAGAAUAAGCACCGGCUAACUUCGUG
rnacentral:rRNA from 1 species